rnacentral:rRNA from 1 species
GACGAACGCUGGCGGCGUGCCUAAUACAUGCAAGUCGAACGCAGUGGGGACGGGUGAGUAGCACGUGGGUAACCUCCCAUCAGAGGGGAUAACACUUGGAAACAGGUGCUAAACCGAUACUGAUGGAUGGACCCGUGGUGCAUUAGCUAGUUGGUGGGGUAACGGCUCACCAAGGCCACGAGGCAUAGCCGGCAUGGGAGGGGGAGCUGCCACACUGGGACUGAGAAACGGCCCCGACUCCAACGGGAGGCAGCAGUGGGGAAUAUGGGGCAAUGGAGGAAAGACUGACCGGGCAAGGCCGCGUGAGUGAAGAAGGUUUUCGGAUUGUAAAACUCUGUUGUUAGAGAAGCGGUAUCUAAAGAGAAAGCCACGGCUAACUACGUGCCAGCAGCCGCGGUAAUAC